CGCAAGCGCCGCGCAGCCCGGGUUCCCGCCGGCGCCUCUCCCUCGGCGCCUCUCCCUCCACACCUUCCCGCAACGUGAGGGAGCCGGCUCCGGCCUUGGCCAGCCCAGAAAGGGGCUCCCACAGUGCAGCGGUGGGCUGAAGGGCUCCUCAAGCGCGGCCAGAGUGGGCGCCAAGGCGGAGGAGGCCCGGAGAGCGAGCGUGGGCUGUGAGGUCUGCCAACACGCUGUCACGUCUGCCAACACGCUGUCACCUCUCAGUAUCUUCUUAAAGAGGCUUACAAUAGUGGAAUAUGUUGAAUACUGAAGAGACUGAUUCACCUUGCUCUAAAGACCUGUGGCAGACAAACAUUUAAUGUAAGAUCUUUGCAUGGAUGUGUUCUUCAUUUAUCAUGGUACAUUCCUAGGAGUGGAAUUGCUGUGUCAUAUGAGAAGAAUAUAUCCAGGCUGAUCCAUCAAUCCCAGAAGGAGAACAAGAAACACAUGGAGCAGAGCUAAGUUACCCAGCCUAGCUCAGCCUAGAUCAGCAUCCUGUAACAGGCCCCCAGCCUU